rnacentral:rRNA from 1 species
GAUGAACGCUGGCGGCGUGCCUAAUACAUGCAAGUCGAGCGAACAGACGAGGAGCUUGCUCCUUCGACGUUAGCGGCGGACGGGUGAGUAACACGUAGGUAACCUACCUAUAAGACUGGGAUAACUUCGGGAAACCGGAGCUAAUACCGGAUAAUAUUUCGAACCGCAUGGUUCGAUAGUGAAAGAUGGCUUUGCUAUCACUUAUAGAUGGACCUGCGCCGUAUUAGCUAGUUGGUAAGGUAACGGCUUGCCAAGGCAACGAUACGUAGCCGACCUGAGAGGGUGAUCGGCCACACUGGAACUGAGACACGGUCCAGACUCCUACGGGAGGCAGCAGUAGGGAAUCUUCCGCAAUGGGCGAAAGCCUGACGGAGCAACGCCGCGUGAGUGAUGAAGGUCUUCGGAUCGUAAAACUCUGUUAUUAGGGAAGAACAAACGUGUAAGUAACUGUGCACGUCUUGACGGUACCUAAUCAGAAAGCCACGGCUAACUACGUG